rnacentral:lncRNA from 1 species
UUUUUUUUUACAGCAUGAUUUUUAUUGUCAAGGUUGCCAUGACACGACGUUUUUUAAUGGCAAAGAGAAAAUAGUAUUUAGUGCUGAUAUUUUACAGUGUAAGAUCGAUUCUUGUACUGCUGAAUCUUUAUCUGGUCCUGUUUCUUUCAAAACAAUUCUGAGCAUGGAAUGAUAGCACCCUCACGCAACAACUGCCAUAAUGUGAGUUGUGGGUCCAACUCUUUAGAACUGGGAGAAGCAGGGAAAGGUUGCAGAUAUCAAUCAUUACUGUAGUCAUUUUUUCCUCAGUCAUAUCUAAAACAUGAGAGAUCAUUGAACAACAAACAGGAAACCUGACAUCAAAAACAUAAACCUUUCCCUGCAAAAUAAUGCAAGGAAAUCAACUCACAGGCUACAAGAGAGACUGAGAAGCCCCUACAAAAUGAAUUUAGGCAUAGGCAAAGAAAGACCAAUAAAUCAUGCACAGUGGAAGAAAAGAAAAGGUAACAACAGAAGCACCAUGAUCAAAAGCCAAGCAACAAAGACCAAAAUAACACAGAAAAAAAAAAAUAGCAUGAUCAAAAGGUAAGCAAAUAACAACGUGAAGAACAUAUAAAGAAGUGCAAUCAAACUUACAGGGGACAAAAAAUAAACUUAAGAGGGCAAUAAUGGAAGCUAGAAACAGGGGGAAAAGGAAGCAACGAAUAGACAAAGAAAAAAUGUAAGACAAUUCUAAGGAGAGAACCAAAAGAGAUGACCCGUUAAAUAGCCCUCCAAAUCCUGAUGCGAAAGAAGGUGAGAAAACAGGGACAGAAGCUGCAAAAACCAACACAAAAGGCCAACAAAGCCCAACAUGAGUUGACAAUAGAAGUAAAAAAUCCAUAACUGCCAAAAAAAUCUGAAACCAAAGGAAGAAUCAACUAAAUAGAAGAGACACUCAUCUUGUUCUAUUCAGUCAGGCAAAUAACCCAAAGAAGAAAUACCAUGGGAGAACCAAACAUAACAAUCCUAAACUAAAUAGGAGUUAAN